rnacentral:rRNA from 1 species
AGUGAACGCUGGCGGUAGGCCUAACACAUGCAAGUCGAACGGCAGCACAGUAAGAGCUUGCUCUUACGGGUGGCGAGUGGCGGACGGGUGAGGAAUACAUCGGAAUCUACUUUUUCGUGGGGGAUAACGUAGGGAAACUUACGCUAAUACCGCAUACGACCUACGGGUGAAAGCAGGGGAUCUUCGGACCUUGCGCGAUUGAAUGAGCCGAUGUCGGAUUAGCUAGUUGGCGGGGUAAAGGCCCACCAAGGCGACGAUCCGUAGCUGGUCUGAGAGGAUGAUAAGCCACACCGGAACUGAGACACGGUCCAGACUCCUACGGGAGGCAGCAGUGGGGAAUAUUGGACAAUGGGCGCAAGCCUGAUCCAGCCAUACCGCGUGGGUGAAGAAGGCCUUCGGGUUGUAAAGCCCUUUUGUUGGGAAAGAAAAGCAGCAGGUUAAUACCCCGCUGUUCUGACGGUACCCAAAGAAUAAGCACCGGCUAACUUCGUG